CUUCAAUUUGCAAUCCUUUAAAUUAGAAAGCUUAUUGUUUUCAAGAUGGAAGGUGCCAGGAGAGUUUACUUACACAGAGUUGCGUUGGAGUCUCCUCACACUAAAAACAAGAUUAAAGCGGUCCAAGGUCUAGCUGAGAAAACAAGAACUCCUUUCACUCAUAUUAGACACAGAUGGGACGCAAGGAUAUUUAAAGGUGUAAAACUGGUCACUAUCGCUGGUCUAGGAUUGACGCUUCUGACCAUGUACAGAAUGGCGAGUGGUGAAAUGUCAAAGAGCAUCAUAUGAUAAUAAUAAUAAAUAAUAAUAAUUAAAAAAAAUACCCGGACUCAAAUAAUAGUAUUUUAAUUAUAAAACUAUAAUAAUUAUAUGCAAGCAAAAUUGAAUAGUGAGACAAUAUAGUAGUAGUAGUGUAUAUUAUCAAUAGCAAUUAUUUCAAAUAAAAGAUAAAUCAAGA